rnacentral:misc_RNA from 1 species
GAAAUGCGAUAAGUAGUGUGAAUUGCAGAAUUCAGUGAAUCAUCGAAUCUUUGAACGCACAUUGCGCCCCUUGGUAUUCCAUGGGGCAUGCCUGUUCGAGCGUCAUUUGUACCCUCAAGCUCUGCUUGGUGUUGGGUGUUUGUCCCGUCUCCGCUCGUGGACUCGCCCCAAAGUGAUUGGCAGCCGGCGUACUGGUCCCGGAGCGCAGCACAUGUCGCGCAAACGAGUGCCUUGGUACGGCGGCGUCCAUAAGCCCCUCUCUCACGCUCUUGACCUCGGAUCAGGUAGGGAUACCCGCUGAACUUAAGC